GUGAAACGUUACAGACACACGUCAGAGCCGCAGACUCCACCUGGGAGGAUAUUAUGGGAUGUUAUAUGAACAUUGUCUCAUUGGGAUUUAUGAUCGAUGUAUGUGAUCAUGAAUCAUUUCAGUCAAUAUGAUGGAGACACUGAUUAAAACACGACGGGAACCGUGUAUGGACCGAACCCUUCAUUUAGAGAUGGGAUCAGGAGCGUGUCGGCUCCGCUGGCGCACCGGCUCAGGUGUGAUCGACGGUUCUGGAUUCAUGUCAGCCAACAGCAUCAGGCCCGUGUGUGUGUGUGUGUGUGUGUGUUGAUUAAACGGUGUCGGCCGUGUUGCCUGUCUGUCUGUCUGUCGGUCCGUGUCUUACCUCUGCUGGGCGGGUCUCUCUCUGCACCUGAUGGAGAGCUGCUCGGUGUCCGCGCUCCCAAAGAUUUCACUGAAAACCCACAAAUUGAUCCUCGACAGCAGCGACAACGCGUCCGAUCAGAUCCUCCGAUUGUCUCUUCAGAAGUCAGAAGGCUGGUCUGCUCUCAGCACAGCUGCUCUUCAUCAGCAGAAGCGGCUGAAUCGGCUGUGAAACGUCUUUUCGGCGCCGCACGCAGCUUCUUUACGCACGGCUCUGCGCGGACAUCCUGCGUUAAUUCAAGGCAGCUCCUCCGCCCAAUCAGGCGGCAGAUCUCUGCAGACGCGCAGCGGCAGGAGCGGCAGGAGCGGCAGGGGCGGCAGGAGCGGCAGGCGGCAGCUUCCUAUGAGUCAUAACUGAGGCGGUGAGGCGUGUGAUUGUUUCAGCAUCAAUAACAGAGAAAAAACAGAAACAAUCUGCCUAUUGGUGCUGCACACACACACACACACACACACACACACACACACACACGCACACACACACACACAGGUGCGUUAAUUCACACUGACACACCUGUGAGGUUUGUGUGUGUGUGUGCGUGUGUGUGUGUGUGUGUGUGUGUGUGUGUGUGUGUGUCAGCUUCUCCUCCACAGCGUCACUGAGGCAUCUUAAUGUUGCAUCAUCACAUUAUAUCACAACACUGGCUGAUGAAUCAUGCUUUGAUAAUCAAUACAUUGUUAUCAGGGUUAAAUAUAAAUAUAUCGGAUGCACAAAUUAUCGUCCGAUAACAGAAAAUGUACAUUAUCUGUUAUCAUGGGAUAAAUGAUAGUAUACAGCCAGUCUAUUGCUGAUUUAACUAGUGCAGCGUCUCCACAGAGUAGCUGGUCUAUCACCUGUAAAACUGUUCUGUGAUCAGCCAGUAAAAACAGAGCACAACAACAAACAGCUGAUGUCACCGUGGUAACGCCAAACUGCUGCAGCUGUGGAGCCACACACAUCGUCACAGGUGAGAAGGUCUGAUCACAGCGGUACAAUAUCACAUAAACAAAAUACAUUUCGGAUCCAAUUGUUGGUUAUUUUAUCAGUAUCGGCCCUGAAGGUCAGAGAGUUAUCAGUGAUAUCACACCUCCCUAACUGUGAGAGGAUGUACUGGUUCUGGUUUCAGUCCAUGUAAACUGUUAAAAAGGAUUCAGAAAUAUGUGAUUAUUGUUCUUUUUUAAUUAUAAUCAGCUUCAGCGUCAAAUCAUUGCCAGACUGAAGGUUUCAGUGCAUUAAACUGUAGAACACGUCACAGAACCUGGGUCAGAACCUGAGUCAGUCGUUUCCACAGUGUCACCACAGCAUCAGAACAUCAAAACAUCUGGUUCACUGAGCCUGAAUCCACUGAACAAACCUGACAGGUGUCCAAUCAGCAGCCGUCCAAUCAGCAGCCAUCCAAUCAGCAGCCGUCCAAUCAGAGGACAAGGAGCAGUUUUAUGAACCACUUCUCAGGAGAGGAAUGUAUGUAUGUAUAUAUACAAAUGUGAACAUAUUCAGCUCUCAUGUCACAUUAUUUUCUUUUUCACGUUCAAGUUUUAGUUCAUGUGUGAUAAAAAACAUUUAAAAGUCACCAGUCUGAUGUGAACAUGUGGACUUCACACAUGAGGAAGCCAAAUUCAUGUGGUUUUUUUGCCAUGUUUUGUUUCUACAUGUUAAUUUAUUAGUUCAUGAAUGUGAUGAACAUGAUAUUUCAUCCACAGGUGAAACAUUCCAGGUCACAUGAGACAUUUUUUUCUCAUAAUGUUCAAUUUUGAGUUCAGCUGUGAAACAGGAACAAACACUUGAGGCAGUUUAUGAUGAAAUAGAAGUUUACAGAUGAUUCUGAGUGACAGUUUAGUGUCAGUAACAGGAGAGAGGACGAUCCCACAGAGACUCCACAGACACUGAGACGUGUUGGAUCGUUCAGCUGACUCAGGACUGACACUCUCUGUUGGUCUUUGACUGCAGCUGCUCUACUAGCGACCACAUUUUCAUAUGUAUAUACAUAAUUGUUGUAUGCGUUCAUUUUUUAUCACAUAUGUAUAUGUGUGUAUAUAUUUACAUAUAUUUACAAAUGUACAUAAAUUUUACAUAUAUAUUUACAUAUAUAUUUACAUAUAUAUUUACAUAGAUAUAUUUACAUAGAUAUAUUUACAUAGAUAUAUAUUUACAUAUAUAUAUUUACAUAUAUAUUUGCAUAUAUAUGUAAAUAUGUAUAUAUAUUUACAUAUAUAUGUAAAUAUGUAUAUAUAUUUACAUAUAUAUAUUUACAUAUAUAUUUACAUGUAUAUGUACAUACACAAAUACGUGUCUCAACAGGCUGAACAUGCAGAAAGGAGUCAUCACACUUCCGGUGCAGCUGGCGGCGCUGUGCACCGGCCCUCCGUUUGCACUACGUCGUUUCCGCUUUCUUCACAGAAAGCGGAAACGACGUCAUUUUCGCGCGAAAUGUGUUCUUCUCGGGUGUCGUCUCCAGACUGUCUCUGAACUUGUUCUGUGUUCGACCCGGGCUGUGAGUUAAAGCAGAUAAUCGGCUCCGUGGCGGAUCGCAGGUCUGAUAUCAGUAUCGAUUAGUGA
ensembl:lncRNA